rnacentral:lncRNA from 1 species
CCAUUAUCAUUUUUCUUAUAAAAUAGACAUAACACUAAUAACAUAUAAGUCUAACCUAUGUAAAACAUUAAUACUACAAAGAAUUCAAAAUGUCACUAUUCAGCUUAGAACUUACACUGAUUUAUAUAUUAAAUGCUAUAAUCCGUUAUUGUAAAACAAAUUUAUGCUUUACAAUUUCUACCGACAUUGCACGUUAGAUCAUUUAACAAGCAACUCCCUUGUGCUCCGCUAUCCUGAACACUUCUCUGGAAAACCC